rnacentral:misc_RNA from 1 species
AACAAGCUGGAAGGGCAACUUCCAGCAGAGCUUGAAUCCUUGUCUAAUCUUAAAAACUUCAUUAUUCAUUGGAACAAUCUCACAGGAGUUAUACCUUCUUUCUUUGGAAACCUUUCUUCUCUAGUUAGUAUAUCUGCAGCCAGUAAUAGUUUCCAAGGAAAUAUCCCAGAUACCCUAGGGCAACUGAAAAACUUGGAAUCUCUUGGACUUGGUACAAAUGAACUUUCAGGUACAAUCCCUACAUCCUUAUUUAAUAUAUCCUCC